GACGAACGCUGGCGGCGUGCCUAACACAUGCAAGUCGAGCGGGAACCUCAGGAGGGGUAACCCUUCUGAGGGGAGAGCGGCGAACGGGUGAGUAACACGUGGGCAACCUGCCCCGGACACCGGGAUAACCCAGGGAAACCUGAGCUAAUACCGGAUACUCCGGCGCGAUCGCAUGGUCGUGCCGGGAAAGCUCCGACGGUCCGGGAUGGGCCCGCGGCCUAUCAGCUUGUUGGUGGGGUAACGCCCACCAAGGCGACGACGGGUAGCUGGUCUGAGAGGACGGCCAGCCACACUGGGACUGAGACACGGCCCAGACUCCUACGGGAGGCAGCAGUGGGGGAUCUUGCGCUAAUGCGCGAAAGCGUGACGCAGCGACGCCGCGUGGGGAUGAAGGCC
rnacentral:rRNA from 1 species